rnacentral:rRNA from 1 species
AGGAUAAACGCUGGCGGCGUGCCUAACACAUGCAAGUCGAACGCGCUUUCGGGCUUCGGUGCGAGAGCGAGUGGCGGACGGGUGAGUAACACAUGGGUACCUACCUUGGAGUGAGGGAUACCGGCGAGAAAUCGCCGACAAUACCGCAUAGGCUUCUUCACAAGGGAAGCAAAGUGACGCGAGUCACGCUUUGAGAUGGGCCUGUGGCCGAUUAGCUAGUUGGGGGGGUAACGGCUUCCCAAGGCGACGAUCGGUAGCUGGUCUGAGAGGACGAUCAGCCGGAUUGGGACUGAGAUACGGCCCAGACUCCUACGGGGGGCAGCAAUUAGGAAUCUUGCGCAAUGGGCGAAAGCCUGACGCAGCGACGUCGCGUGAAGGAUGAAAUCUUUCGGGAUGUAAACUUCUUUUUUCGGGGAAGAAACAAAUGACGGUACCCGAAGAAUAAGCCCGGCUAACUACGCGCCAGCAGCCGC